rnacentral:rRNA from 1 species
UACAGAGGUCCCAAGCGUUGUUCGGAUUCACUGGGCGUAAAGGGUGCGUAGGUGGUUAGGUAAGUCCGAUGUGAAAUCUCCAGGCUCAACCUGGAAAUGGCAUUGGAUACUAUUUAGCUUGAGGAGUGGAGGGGGGACUGGAAUUCUCGGUGUAGCAGUGAAAUGCGUAGAUAUCGAGAGGAACACCAGUGGCGAAGGCGAGUCCCUGGACACUUCCUGACACUGAGGCACGAAAGCGAGGGGAGCAAACAGG